GACGGAGGAUGCAAGUGUUAUCCGGAAUCACUGGGCGUAAAGCGUCUGUAGGUGGUCAAAUAAGUCAACUGUUAAAUCUUGAGGCUCAACCUCAAAAUCGCAGUCGUAACUAUUAGACUAGAGUAUAGUAGGGGUAAAGGGAAUUUCCAGUGGAGCGGUGAAAUGCGUAGAGAUUGGAAAGAACACCGAUGGCGAAGGCACGUUACUGGGCUAUUACUAACACUGAGAGACGAAAGCUAGGGUAGCAAAUGGG
rnacentral:rRNA from 1 species